UCCCCCAUCCACCAGAUGACGGGAGUGUGUUUGUGAGGACGAAAUAUUUGCCAUUUGUUUGUUGUUUCCGAGACGCUGACUGAAAGUGUGUUCCAAAAUCAUUACGGAAUUGAGGUGUCGAUCUACAUUUUCAGCCAUGAAAUGUAUUUGGCAAUCUGGCAUAUAAUAUCACUUGGCCAAAUAUGUGACGUGGGUCGAAACUGAUGUCCAUUUUGCCGAAAUGUCGGCCAUUGUUAGCUGUACCUAUAUACGGCAUGGUAUACGGCUGUUCGUCUCAUCUCGUGCAGAAACACUUUAGAGCUGGUUUGAGAUGGAUAUCCCUUUGCUCAACUAUUGCAUAAAUUAAGAACACGACAAAGUCUGAGCUUCAUGGCUGCCGAAUCAUUAACACAGUUUUGUUGCAGCCAGCUGGUGAAAGAUGUGAUCGAGUCAAGUUGAGCUGUAGCUGCUGCAUGCAGUUUAUCAAGCUGGGUUAAAGUGUCACUGCAGGAAGACUUCUUGAAUUGGAGUUCAUGGUCGGUUUGAUGUUUAUGGUGUUGCUGUUUGGUGUACAGUGGUUUUGCAGCCCCUUUCCAAUUGAGAGAUGCCCUGAAAUUGAGCUUGUGAAGACUUGUAGUUCAACAUCACACUUAAAUGUCUCUUUUGUCUAUGCAUGGUAUCCAUGCAGUAUAUGCAGUGUUGAACAGUUGGGUAAAAUAGUCAAUGAUGUUUGAUGUCGGUCUUAUUUUAUCGGUUGCACUUUGUCGAUAUGUUGUCUCUUGGUACCGGCGUUGAGUUUAAUCGUUUGCUGCCGUUCCAUAGACUUGAUCCAUUGGUAAAACUGAGGAGAGGUUGCUGAAAUUCAAGACUCGUCAAUAAAUUAUGUAGAU
rnacentral:lncRNA from 1 species